UUUAUUAUACUUACGACUUGCGACUGCUGAUUAAAAUCGUAAAAGAAACUGCCGAAGUUUGAUCUAGUCUCGUUCUCAUAUCGAUUGAAGUAAUUAUUAGUACAUUGAAUAAGGGUAAGGCUGCUGAUGGAUGAUGGUAGGGUGGCGCUGUGAUUGUAUCGAUCUGCAACAGCUGUCCAUGUAGGCUUUAUAAAAUAUUUAUAGUACAAUGUUAGUAAAAUGUGACAGUUGAAGAUGAUCUACAUGAAUGUGUAAAGUUUUAGUUGUUUUACAACAUGCUUAAUUUAGUGUAAUUAAUCAGUCUACUGCAAAAGUAAUUUUGACAUUUCCUUACGGAUUUUAUAUAAUAUUCAAGAGGCAGUAAAUGGAUCAAUAUUACACACAACAGGACGUAAUUGUGUUUGUUUCGCUUGUGAUAGUUUUGGUUUUUAUCGUUGUUAUGGUUACUGUUUUAAGUAUUGUGGCGUCACGAUGGAGGAAUGUGCGCGAUGAUAUGGAUGGAUUGACAGACAAUGCAGAAAUAGCAACUGAUAUGUCCGUUUGGUCGGUCCAAGGAACGUACAGGACAUUGCCGGAUUGAAGUGGAAAUAAGGAACAAAAAGGAAAAUAUAUUUCAUGAUUUCAUUAAUCAGAACAGAGAAAACUGAGACUCAAAUUUUAUACGUUUUUAAGAAUAGAACAAUUCUGCUGGUUAAAAUCUUUACAUUCGAUGGAUUUCUAACUUGAGAUUUGCAUUCAAUGUACUUAGACCUUCCCUGUAUAUAUAAUCGUUAAUGGAGAGGAAAACAUUAGUAUAAAUUGGUAGUAUACAGUCUUUUCCAUUUCAACCUAAAAUCAAAUUUCUAAAAUAAAGUCUUAGUUUUAUAGUGGUUUUGAAGUGUUUUCUUAAACUCCUGCAAUUAUAUAUCAAACAAGUAUAAAAGGAGAUGAAUCAUAAAGGGCCUAUAUCGUCAUUAAGAUGAUGAAAAAUAAAUCCUCCUUUGGUGCACUUGUUUAUUUUAAUAUAAUUAGGCUUAUGUAUUUUUCUAAUUACAAUGCACGUUUUCUUCCAUCAUAAAGAUUAUAGCUUUAUACAUCAAAAGGACAAAUGUCUAUGAAAAAAAGCUAAAUUUGAAAAAAAAGGUAUUAUAGAUUUGUACAAAACUAGUUAACAGCGCAACCUUAUACCCGAGAAUUUGGUAGAAUGUUAGGUUCUACCAAAGUUCAUUUUUGCUGAAAUAUCUUGGUGGUAAUAAGAUUUAAUUUUAACUAUGUUUAUAUAAGAGAAUAAAUUGAUAAAUUUGCCUUUUCCUGGUCAUAUGAAUAGUUUAAAAUCUGAACGACUACGGAACAUGAAAGAUCAUUCAUUAUGCUUGCAAAAUAUAUUGAUAUCUGAUUGAUAACAACACUUCAAAAUUUUUCCUUUUUUUUGGGGGGCCGAUUUGAGGGUUUAAUAACACUCGAUCUUCCUUUUGUUUUAAUUAAUAGGACUUUUACAUUCAUCAUAAUACCAUUGAUGACAAAUUUGCAGAAAUUAUAAACCUAAAUCUAUGUUUCAUAAAAUCAUUCAAUAGGCUGAUGAACAAUUCAAAGAUUAGGAUAUUUUGUUAAAAAAAGAUGAACAUUUUUGUGAUCAGAUAGUUAAAUGCAGUUCAUUCUGUAAUUAUAAAUCAUUAUAAUGAAGGAUGAAAUUAUCCAACAAUACUACAAUUUGUUCAAAUUGACGCAAAGCAGUUCUCUACAAUACAUUUAUACUCGAUCGACAAAAGAGCGAUUUCUUGCAGAAAUUAGGGUUUGGCUCUUCGAUUUGACACUUAGCUAUAAUGACUAAAUCUAAUUUAAUGUAACGGUGUAUGAAAACAUGACAUAAACCUUUUAUUUUUAUUUUAUUAAAAGAAGAAUCUAAAAAAAUAUAAGCAAUAUCUGUAAAUAACAUAAACCAUAACUUGUAAAAUCAAAAACAAUGGUUUUAAAAAACUUAAAAUAUCAAAAUGAAUUGCACUUUUGUAUUCGAUUUGACGUAAAAAAAAAUUGCUAUUUGUGUGAAUAUUUUUAUAUGGUUAUAGACAUUUUCUGUAGAGAUUAUUAUUUAUGAUUAUUCUUAUUAUUAUUUAAAUGUGUUAUGAACUUUAAGUUUAGAAAAUUUUACCAUAAUUAAAAUAGGGUUAUGUUAUAGAAUAUCAAGGAUAUAGAACUUCAUUUUAAGGUGGUACCCAACACCUUGACUAAUAUUAAUUUGGCUCGUUUAAUUUUCAUAAAAUUUUGACAAAAUGUUUACUUUGACCCUUUGACAAAAAUGUAAAAAUUUCAAAAAAUUUCAACCAACCACUUUAUCAGAAAAAUUUCAUUGGUUAUAUAGCAGUUUGACAAACACUAAUUUUGAUCAUUGAGAAGCUUAAUAUUUCCUUAACAAUACAACGUGAUUAAAACGUCUAGCUGAUUUUUACAGAGUUAUCUCCCUGUAGUGUUAGGUACCACCUUAAU